AUUGAACGCUGGCGGUAGGCCUAACACAUGCAAGUCGAGCGGAUGAAGGUAGCUUGCUACCUGAUUCAGCGGCGGACGGGUGAGUAAUGCCUAGGAAUCUGCCUGGUAGUGGGGGACAACGUUUCGAAAGGAACGCUAAUACCGCAUACGUCCGACGGGAGAAAGUGGGGGAUCUUCGGACCUCCCGCUAUCAGAUGAGCCUGGGUGCGAUUAGCUAGUUGGUGAGGUAAAGGCUCACCAAGGCGACGAUCGUUAACUGGUCUGAGAGGAUGAUCAGUCACACUGGAACUGAGACACGGUCCAGACUCCUACGGGAGGCAGCAGUGGGGAAUAUUGGACAGUGGGCGAAAGCCUGAUCCAGCCAUGCCGCGUGUGUGAAGAAGGUCUUCGGAUUGUAAAGCACUUUAAGUUGGGAGGAAGGGCAGUAAGUUAAUACCUAGCUGUUUUGACGUUACCGACAGAAUAAGCACCGGCUAACUUCGUGCCAGCAGCCGCAGUAA
rnacentral:rRNA from 1 species